GGACGAGAGGAGAUGUCCCGCAAAUGGUUCGAGCGAGGAGACGACGCGUUCAAACCUCCGGACAUUGGAAGAUAGCGAGUCGAGAUCGCUUCGUACGUUCAGUUUGAAGAACGAUUCGCCGGACAAGGACGAUGAGGAUUCGCGAUUCAGGGCUCGAAGGAACGAGGGAAGGAUCAAGCAGAGCCUGAGCGAUCGCGUUCGAUCCUCGCGGAACGGUCAGAGGGUAUCGGAUUCUUCGGACAAGCGUAGAUUCAAGUUGUUCAAGGACAAGAGUAAAAAAUGUUCGGAAAAGAGCAAAGAUCAGCAGCAGGCCGUGGAUAUCGUUCGCUGUGAAGAAGCGACUCGCGGCAAAUUGCAGAAAACCGACUCCUUCCUGAGAAGAUUCGUUAAAAACUCGAAAGACAACAUCGCGGAAGGCUGCGAGAGGCUGGUAAGGAAUAUCCAGAAGAGUCCUCAGUUUCUCCGAAAGAAAUUGUUCGAUUCCAGCGACGAGGACAGACCCGUGCCGCCGAUCAGAAGAAAAAGAUCCAACGGCAAACGUUGGUUGACCGAGCCUUUAAUCGUUAAAUCGUCUUUCGGUGAUCCGGAAGCCGUUUCCGUUGUCCGCGUAGACGACGAGGUAACACGGAACGAUUCGCGCGAAUCUCCGAUCGUAUCCCCGAAAGAUUACGAUUCGUCGAAAAGCGUGUCCAUAGAGGACGUGGAGGAUCUGAUCAGGAUAGAGGACAAUCUGAGACUUUUGGAGGAGCGCGUGCUCGUGAGGAGACGUUUGGAAAAGUCGAGCAAGAUCCUCCGAAGUCUUAAUUCCGAUCAUCGAAGAUCGUGGAGCGAGGAGAGGCUCGUUUCCGGUAUCGAGCGGGUUCACAAGAGAGUUUGGGCAGGAUCUCCACUGUGCGGAGUGUCCGCCGACUCGGUUUGCUCGCCGAUCGCUCACGAACGAUACGCGGUAGGAGAGUCAAGGUCGUCUGAGCGAAGAGACAAGGUAGAUUAUCGCGACAAGUGGUGGAAGGCUAAGCGAUCGCCUCCGCCGGACGACUGGCAGGUUCAGAGGUCGUCGAGGGUCGACGAUAAAGACGAUAAGCUCGUCUCGGCAAGGAAGUCGGGGAUAGACGGCGGGAAUCGGUGGGAACCGCGAGCGUCGACCGUCCGCGUAAAAUGCAAACUCGCGAAUUUCGCGGAUGCCCGACAGCACCGUGGCGGGGACGAUCAAGAGAAGAGGCGGUCGGUGGCCGCCAGUGAACAGCUAGUCGACUCGAACGAUCCCGCGUCCGUCCACGCUCUGGAACGGACCAGAGUACGGACAGAGUCGUGCUCGAAAGAUGAACGAAUCGACGACGAACCGCGAACCUUCGCCGGAACCAGCGAUUUUGACCUCGUGACCGUUCGCGUCGACCUCAUCGACUCGCUCGAGGAUGUCUCGACGGCGAACGUAGUACGAUCGUCUUGUGCUCCUCUGUCCGAUCAAGCCGUCGCGAAGCCUCCGAACGACUUCCAAGGAAGAUCAACGAGCAAGAAGAAAGUGAAACGCAAGGGUUAUCGAGACGUUCGAGAAUCGAAAGGCUCGAAAAUGAAAUUUACCCUGAGGAUGAUCAGGAUUCGCGAUAAACUGAUGCUAGGGCUGAGCGCCUUCGCGAUAUUGUUCACCGUGCUGUUGGUGAUGGACCUUCAGAUGGAUCUGGGUUACAGUGGACACCAUCUGGUGCCUAGUCACGGACGCGUUAGAAUCGGCGACGAUCCUAACGCGGACACCAUUUAUAACACCUUUCGACGGAAGUUCCUGCAACGAACGAACGCUAGCAAGGAACAAACGGCCGAUGCGGUUGCCACCGCGCCGAGUAGCGGAAAGGUGUACGGUAACGACGGUAAAGAGUCGAGAACAGAGAAGAACGUCGAGGUGCACGACAGUUUUCCGGAUUUAGUGGACAUUGUGGUGAACGGUUACGGUGUCGGUGCGUACGACGGUGUGGCCAGGAUCAGCGGUGAAGAUCGUUCCAACAAUCCUACGCUGGGGGAGUUGAAAAAAGUCAGCCCAAAGAAAAAUAGUUCGACGUUGGAGAAAUUUCAUCUGAAGAUCUCGAGGACGGAACUGUAUCCGGCUAAUUCGAAAUACGUGGACCAAUUGUUACACGAACUCGCAACGGAGCCUAUCGUUCAUGUCGUUCAGAAGGAAGGUGGUACGCAGCUGAAACUCCAAAUAAACUAUUCGAACAUGCAGGCGCUUUUCAAGCCGAUGAGGUUUCCACGGGAGCAGCAGACCCUGCCGAAUCAUUUCUAUUUCACCGAUUUCGAGAGGCACACGGCAGAAAUUGCGGCCUUUCAUCUCGACAGGCUGUUGGGAUUCCGCAGAGCGAUGCCAGUCACCGGGCGAACGUUGAACUUAACCACGGAGAUUUAUCAGAUCGCCGACGGUGAACUGUUAAAGACGUUUUUCGUCAGUCCAGCCGGCAAUAUCUGCUUCCACGGCAAGUGCAGUUAUUACUGCGAUACGGCGCACGCGAUUUGCGGAAAUCCGGACACUCUCGAAGGAAGCUUCGCCGCGUACUUGCCGGAUAAAUCUUUCGCCGCGAGGAAAGCCUGGCGACAUCCGUGGAGAAGAAGUUAUCACAAGCGGAAAAAGGCGCAAUGGGAACACGAUUCCGACUAUUGUUCGUUGGUGAAAGAAAUACCACCUUACGACGAGGGGCGAAGGUUGCUAGAUUUGAUGGAUAUGGCCGUGUUGGACUUCCUUAUGGGUAACAUGGACAGACACCAUUACGAAACGUUCAAGAUCUUUGGCAACAACACGUUUCCUUUACACUUGGAUCACGGCAGAGGUUUUGGGAAGCCUUUUCACGACGAAUUCUCGAUCUUGGCCCCUAUUCUGCAGUGUUGCAUGAUCAGGCAGACCACCUUAAGCACCCUAUUGAAAUUUCAUAACGGACCAGUGCCAUUGAGCGAAGCGUUACGAAAAAGCAUGGCAAAGGACCCCGUAGCGCCGGUAUUAUGGGAACCCCACUUUACUGCCCUCGACAGGAGGGUGCGCAUGGUGCUUCAAGCCAUCAGGGACUGUAUAAAUCGCGACGAUUCGAGCCAGGUUGUGCACGAAAGAACCGAGAACGCGGCGUCCUAGCCUUAUCCAGAUUUUCCAGUGAAACGAUCGUUCGGACCGUUCUUCGAAAGCGAGACCGGCUGAUUUUUCGCUCGCAACUUCCUAGAAAACCAGAGACUUCUUCCGCCGUAUAAUGACAAUUACAUAUGAAAAUUAUAAUAUGUCGGAACGACUCUCGAUUCUCAAGAUCACAAAAACAACGGUCAAUACGACGUAGCAUUUUGCGAAUGCACUUUCCCGGAGAAUGUCGAACGUGUUUCGAUGGUAUAUAUACACUUUAAUGCAUCAUUUGCAUAAUCGCGGCGGAUUCGCAAGACGAGAAGAGUGUUCCUUUUCACUACGCCGUGGCUUUCUCGUUCGAAUGGACCCAUUCUCAUAAAGUGAGAAUUUCUACUCGUGGAAGGCGCUA
rnacentral:misc_RNA from 1 species